GCUCGACCCGAAAGGGGACUGGCACUGGACACAGAACAGCAGGAGAGAGUGGAGUGACACCACACCGAGCCAGGGAAUGGACUACCCAACAAAGCACACCAGUGGCAUCGGAUGAAGGGCUGUGGCUACCUUCGCUCCGACCACCAGCCUGACCCAAAUGCAGAACCUGAUGCACACCCACACUGACAUAAGUUGUUGAGAGUCAG